UAGGGAAUAUUGGGCAAUGGAGGGAACUCUGACCCAGCCAUGCCGCGUGCAGGAUGAAGGCGUUAUGCGUUGUAAACUGCUUUUAUAUAGGAAGAAAUAGUCCUUGCGAGGAAAGUUGACGGUACUAUAUGAAUAAGCACCGGCUAACUACGUGCCAGCAGCCGCGGUAAUACGUAGGUGGCAAGCGUUGUCCGGAUUUAUUGGGUUUAAAGGGUGCGUAGGUGGCCCUGUAAGUCAGUGGUGAAAUAUCUCAGCUUAACUGAGAGGGUGCCAUUGAUACUGCAGGGCUUGAGUACAGAUGAGGUAGGCGGAAUUGACGGUGUAGCGGUGAAAUGCAUAGAUAUCGUCAAGAACACCGAUAGCGAAGGCAGCUUACCAAGCUGUAACUGACACUGAGGCACGAAAGUGUGGGGAUCAAACAGGAUUAGAUACCCAGGUAGUCCCUGAGCGGGCUGGCAAGGCGCAU
rnacentral:rRNA from 1 species